rnacentral:tRNA from 1 species
UGUCCAGGGAUGGGAAUCGAACCCACAAUGUUCCGCUUACCGGGCAGAUGCCAUGUCCACUAUGUUCCCAUCCCUGGAC